rnacentral:rRNA from 1 species
UAUACUGCAGUCGAGCGGACAGAUGGGAGCUUGCUCCCUGAUGUUAGCGGCGGACGGGUGAGUAACACGUGGGUAACCUGCCUGUAAGACUGGGAUAACUCCGGGAAACCGGGGCUAAUACCGGAUGGUUGUUUGAACCGCAUGGUUCAGACAUAAAAGGUGGCUUCGGCUACCACUUACAGAUGGACCCGCGGCGCAUUAGCUAGUUGGUGAGGUAACGGCUCACCAAGGCGACGAUGCGUAGCCGACCUGAGAGGGUGAUCGGCCACACUGGGACUGAGACACGGCCCAGACUCCUACGGGAGGCAGCAGUAGGGAAUCUUCCGCAAUGGACGAAAGUCUGACGGAGCAACGCCGCGUGAGUGAUGAAGGUUUUCGGAUCGUAAAGCUCUGUUGUUAGGGAAGAACAAGUGCCGUUCAAAUAGGGCGGCACCUUGACGGUACCUAACCAGAAAGCCACGGCUAACUACGUGCCAGCAGCCGCGGUAAUACGUAGGUGGCAAGCGUUGUCCGGAAUUAUUGGGCGUAAAGGGCUCGCAGGCGGUUUCUUAAGUCUGAUGUGAAAGCCCCCGGCUCAACCGGGGAGGGUCAUUGGAAACUGGGGAACUUGAGUGCAGAAGAGGAGAGUGGAAUUCCACGUGUAGCGGUGAAAUGCGUAGAGAUGUGGAGGAACACCAGUGGCGAAGGCGACUCUCUGGUCUGUAACUGACGCUGAGGAGCGAAAGCGUGGGGAGCGAACAGGAUUAGAUACCCUGGUAGUCCACGCCGUAAACGAUGAGUGCUAAGUGUUAGGGGGUUUCCGCCCCUUAGUGCUGCAGCUAACGCAUUAAGCACUCCGCCUGGGGAGUACGGUCGCAAGACUGAAACUCAAAGGAAUUGACGGGGGCCCGCACAAGCGGUGGAGCAUGUG